GGCAAGGCAACCUUUCCUCCCGGAAAGGGAGUCUUCCUCGUCGGGUCCCCAACCCUCUGCCUCUCUCCUGCUCAGCUCCAUCCUCACCCCAUGUCUUCAAGCCCCUUCUCUCUGGGCCCAUCUGCGUCUUUGCCCCAUCUCACCUGCCCCCUUUUCUCCUGCUCCCUUUUCUCCUGCCCCUAUAAAGGAAGCUGGAUUCAAAGGGCCCAUGGCCCGAUUGAGUAGGGCUCUUAUGUUCUUCUGAUUUGACCUCCAAUGAUUUAUAAACCCCUCCUCCUUUCCAAGGGGGAUGGCCAUAGAAUGCCAUGUGUUCUCCAAUAUCUUCUGCUGGACAAGGCAGGAUUAGAUGACAGUUAGAUGACAUCGAAAAAGCUGACCUUUUACAACAAGAUCAUGCCGGAGCAGAUCACUGUGUCAGAGUUUAUUACUGAGACCACAGAGGAUUGCAACUGUCCCAAAACAUCCAGCUUUACUAACAGAACUGAAGGAAUACAGUCCCUCUUCUAGAAGAGGCACUAGAUCAGGACAGAACUGCACUAUAAAAAGUACAAAAAUCAGUAAAAGCAAUACAUAAACCAGGUCCCUCCUCCUUUGCUCCUGGACAGCACCAUCUGAAAGGUGCUUGGCGAAGACAAGAAAACCCCCCUCCUUCUCUCCUGCCCUCCCGAAUCCUCUCCCCAUGUCUCCUGCCCCCUUUACUCCUGCCCCUAACAAGUCCUCCUCGGGUGUCUUCCACCCUAAUCCGUCCUGGCCCCAACCCUCCUGCCUCCCUCUCCAGAAAGCGGAAGCACGAAGAAGACAGCACCACUUCUGCCGCCCCCCCAGAAGACCCAGCCAAGGGACACCACAUCUGGGAAGAGAAAAGCCAAAGUGAAGUGGUUGGCUCCAUCAUCCUUCUCCUUUAACUGCUCAAAAUGGGCACCCUCGGCUCCUACAGCAGCUGUUCCAGCCUCCGGGGAGGAGCCGAUGGACUGCACGCUGGACAAAAUCAGACUCAUCUAGAUGCAGGUCAGGAAGCAGCCCCAAGAAGAAGACGAGUCAAGAGAGCCGGCGAUGUCAAGAUCACUUCCUUUUCUGGGGCCCCCAUUCCCCCUCUUUCUUUUCCUUCUCUAUAUAUAUCAAUGGAGCUGUGCCAGUCUCCGGGGAGGAGCCGAUGGAUUGCACGCCGGCGCCGUAGAAAAUCAAGAGGUGUGCAGAUACAGGUCAGGAAGGUGAGGGCUACUCCCCAUUGGGGCAGGGGGGCAGAGGGAGCUGUGCCCUCCACCUCCACCCCCUUCCAGGGGAGAAAGUGGGGCAGGGUGGGUGGGUUGGUGUGGGAGAGCGAGGCUGCCAGACCAGCCCACCGGGGGGAAGCUGGGUCUCCCCAAAGAGAGCAGAGCAGGGACCCCAGUGGGGGCUCAGCCCCUUCCCCAGGACCCUCACGGCCUCCCCUUUUCUCUUCCAGAAGCCCCAAGAAGAAGAAGAAGCAAGCGACCUGACCCGGAGAUUUCAAGAUGACUUCUUUUCCUUUUCUGGGCCCCCCGUUUUCCCCCCUUCUUUUCCAUAUUAAUGUUGAUAUGUUUAAAAAUCAAAUUAGAUUUUUUAUCUCUAUUUAAGCCCAAUAGCCUGGUGCCUUUUUUUCCAAGGGAGGUGGGUGGGUGAGGAAGUCGGGUGGCGGGCGAGAGGGAGCCCACAGUCCCCCAGCGGGGGCCCUGGGCAGGCGGGCAUGGGGCAGGCAUGGGGUGUCUGGCUCUUGUCCCCUUCGCUUCCCCACCCCACCCAUGAGGAUGGGGAGAAAAGAGUUCCCCUCCCAAGUGAGUUCGAGAGUGAAGGGAGAGGUGAUGGUCACCACCUGUCUCUUCUAGGGGAACAUUCUGGGCCUGUCUUACAAGUGAGCAAGCGUGUGUUUCUGUGUGUGUGAUGGAGGUUCCAGAAAGACCAGGCUGCCCCCCCCCAGACCUGAAAACGGUCUUGGUCCGAGAGGCAGCGAAAGGACUGGCCCUUCUCUUGACCUUUGUACACCAAGGGAUGAAUCAGGUCCCUCCUCCUUUGCUCCUGGACAGCAUCGUCUUAAAGGUGCUUGGCGAAGACAGGAGCCCCCCCUCCUUCUCUCCUGCCCUUCCGAAUCCUCUCCCCAUAUUUCCUGUCCCCUUUCCUCCUGCCCUUCCGAAUCAUCUCCCCGUGUCUCCUGCCCCCUUUACUCCUGCCCCUAACAAGUCCUCCUCGGGUGUCUUCCACCCUAAUCCGUCCUGGCCCCAACCCUCCUGCCUCCCUGCCCCGGAAGCGGAAGCAUGAGGAAGACAAGACCCCUCCUUCCAUCGCCCCCCAGAAGAUCCAGCCCAGGUGAGGGCAGUCGGUCGGUCUCAAGGGAGGACUGUGGCCGAGGUGGAGGGGUAGCAGACCAGGGACACCCCCCCCAGCAUCUUUUUCUGGCACUUGGUCAGCCGCUCUCUAUGGAGGGAGAGGGUGGCCGUGUCCUGCCAAGGUCAGCCCCCCGUG
ensembl:lncRNA